UGCACCUCGAGCGACUGCAUUAGAAGCUUGCUUCUAUGACGUUAGCGGCGGACGGGUGAGUAACACGUGGGCAACCUGCCUGUAAGACUGGGAUAACUCCGGGAAACCGGAGCUAAUACCGGAUAACAUUUUUUCUUGCAUAAGAGAAAAUUGAAAAGAUGGUUUCGGCUAUCACUUACAGAUGGGCCCGCGGUGCAUUAGCUAGUUGGUGAGGUAACGGCUCACCAAGGCAACGAUUGCAUAGCCGACCUGAGAGGGUGAUCGGCCACACUGGGACUGAGACACGGCCCAGACUCCUACGGGAGGCAGCAGGGGGA
rnacentral:rRNA from 2 species